ensembl:snoRNA SNORA70 Small nucleolar RNA SNORA70
AUGCAACCAAUUACAUCAACUGGGAGCUUUUCCCUUUGAAGACCAAGAUGCAAUGGUUGCAAACUGUGUCUUCCUUGGUUUUCUUAUGCAGCUGACCACUUGCAUGGUUUGCCUUAAGCUACCUUGAAGACAGAC